CUAGGGGCCCGCUAUGCCAAAAGCGAGAGAAACCCCAUCCCUUUCUUUCCUUUUUUCGUCCCCAUGUCCCCUCAUCACUCUCUCUUCCUCCCAUUUUCAGCCACCCCUUUUCCUCAUUCUUCAUUUUUCAUUUUCUUCUUUCUCUUUCUACAUAUCUCCAUCUUCUCUCUAGAAUUUCUCUAUGUUAAGGUCAAAUUUGUAAAGAACCAUAAUUAGAGAAAAUGUAGAUCUUGGAAAGGGCUACGUUUUGACACCAGCAUUGCAUCAUUUUGGUUGGAUUUCGUAUUUGGAUCUUGAGCUUGGGUUAUUUUAUUGAGGACAUGACAAGGAAGUUGUAGAUAAUGUACCCCCCACAAGCUUAGAAAUAGAAUGGCGACCAUUAAUUUGUUAUAUUUUGUAAAGGCAUUCUUUUGAGCUAUUGACUACAUGUAAUGACCUUAUUCUUUUGUCGACUCCAUACGAAGUCGUUGUAUUAUGGCAAUGGAGGUCUUGAUUUGUAAUCUUAUUCUUUUGGACAUGUAUAUAUGUUUUUUUUUUUUUAUUCUCAAAAGAUGUAUAAAUGAUGUUAUUUUGAUACUUCAAUGCAAUAUUUUAAGGUUGAUGA